GACGAACGCUGGCGGCGUGCUUAACACAUGCAAGUCGAACGGAAAGGCCCUGCUUUUGUGGGGUGCUCGAGUGGCGAACGGGUGAGUAACACGUGAGUAACCUGCCCCUGACUUUGGGAUAACUUCAGGAAACUGGGGCUAAUACCGGAUAGGAGCUCCUGCUGCAUGGUGGGGGUUGGAAAGUUUCGGCGGUUGGGGAUGGACUCGCGGCUUAUCAGCUUGUUGGUGGGGUAGUGGCUUACCAAGGCUUUGACGGGUAGCCGGCCUGAGAGGGUGACCGGCCACCUUGGGACUGCGAUACGGCCCAGACUCCUACGGGAGGCAGCAGUGGGGAAUAUUGCACAAUGGGCGGACGCCUGAUGCAGCAGCGCCGCGUGCGUGAUGCCGUCCUUCGGGUUGUAAACCGCUUUCGCCUGUGACGAAGCGUGAGUGACGGUAAUGGGUAAAGAAGCACCGGCUAACUACGUG
rnacentral:rRNA from 1 species